GACGAACGCUGGCGGCGUGCCUAAUACAUGCAAGUCGAACGAGAGCAACCGGUGCUUGCACUGGUCAAUCUAGUGGCGCACGGGUGAGUAACACGUGGGUAACCUGCCCAUCAGAGGGGGAUAACAUCCGGAAACGGAUGCUAAAACCGCAUAGGUCUUCGAACCGCAUGGUUUGAAGAGGAAAAGAGGCGCACGCUUCUGCUGAUGGAUGGACCCGCGGUGCAUUAGCUAGUUGGUGAGGUAACGGCUCACCAAGGCCGUGAUGCAUAGCCGACCUGAGAGGGUGAUCGGCCACAUUGGGACUGAGACACGGACCAAACUCCUACGGGAGGCAGCAGUAGGGAAUCGUCCGCAAUGGACGCAAGUCUGACGGAGCAACGCCGCGUGAGUGAAGAAGGUGUUCGGAUCGUAAAACUCUGUUGUUAGAGAAGAACAAGUGCUAGAGUAACUGUUAGCGCCUUGACGGUAUCUAACCAGAAAGCCACGGCUAACUACGUG
rnacentral:rRNA from 1 species